UACGUAGGGGGCAAGCGUUGUCCGGAAUCCUUGGGCGUAAAGCGCGUGUAGGCGGCCCGAAAAGUCUGGUGUGAAAACUUGAGGCUCAACCUCAAGCUGUCACUGGAUACUGUCGGGCUUGAGUCCGGAAGAGGAGAGUGGAAUUCCUGGUGUAGCGGUGGAAUGCGCAGAUAUCAGGAGGAACACCAAUGGCGAAGGCAGCUCUCUGGUACGUGACUGACGCUGAGACGCGAAAGCGUGGGUAGCAAACAGG
rnacentral:rRNA from 1 species